GCCCCGCUGAUCCCGCCCCGCCCCGCCGGCCCCGCCGGUUCCGCCUCCCGUCUCCCCGCAGCCCCCCGGAGCCGACAAGUGAUGGCUGCCGCGGCCCCAGGUCCCGGGUCCCUCAGAUAAGAGGGCCGGUGGAGGAGGAAGCGGCCAAGUCCACGAUCCUGCUCCGGUGCCGCGGAGCACCGCCCACCUCAGCCGACCAGCCCCGUCGGCUAUUGGGCCUCGCCGAGACGAGAGGAGGGAAAGGCCGCGGCGUCCUCUCCCUCCGCGGCUCAUGGCGACGACACUUGGCACACCCGGGACCCUCAGGCCGUUGCGGUUGCGUCGUCAGCUGCUCGGGCCCCAGCCCCGGCCGCUGUGGUGACUCCGCCGCGCCUCGCCUUCGCACCGGUCCCCGUCCCGCCCGCCGCCUCAGCCGCCAGGGACAUGUCUAACCCCGGAGGCCGGAGGAACGGGCGGGUCAAGCUGCGCCUGACGGGAAUCAUAUUGACAGGUCAUGAAAAUGAGACCAAAAGAUCUCUGGAAGCGAUUAAUGAUAAAAUUUCAUGGAGAAGAAGGCCUUGACUACAGAGGGGUUACCAGGGUCUCCCUCUGUCACCCAGGCUGGAGUAUAGUGGCGCGAUCUCGGGUCACUGCAACCUCCCCAAGCUGGGCUCAAGAGAUCCUCCCACCUCAGCCUCCUGAGCAGCUGGGACUACAGGUACAAGCCACCACACCCAGCUGAUUUUUUUAUUUUUUUUGUAGAGAUGGGGUUUCGCCAUGUUGCCCAGGCUGAUCUCGAACUCCUGAGCUCAAAUAGUCUGCCUUCCCCGGCCUCCCAAAGUGCUGGGAUUACAGGUGUGAGCCACCACACCCAGCCGGUGAUUUAUUUCUGAUAUUAUAUUUACUAUAAGAAUUCUUUUCUAAAUAUGAAAAUUAGUUUUAUAUAAAUGUAGGAGAAAUACUAGCUCUGUAUUGAAAUGUUUUAAGGAUCAUUGUAAUUCUGCUUUCCCUAAUCUUAAAUCCAACCAAAAUUAAAUUAUGUUUUCAAUAAUUCCCAUUAUUAUUUAGCAUUACAUGUGUGUAUUUGUAGACUUAUUUUCAUUCUGUCAUCUUUUAAACCUAUAGAUGGGUGGUUUCUUUAGCGUGGAUUUUUAAAAAUAAUCUCUUACACAUCAUACUUAGGACUUGAUAGUUUCUGUGGAAUUUGUGUUACUGACUUAUAACUAGAGUUUGAAUGUUUAUUGGGAAAACUUAAUCAUGAUCAUCUGCUGGUGGCAUCUAAGUACUAUAAUUAUAUGUAUAGGUCAAAUAAGUAGUUUAAUUAAUUAAUUUUUUAGGGACAGGGUCUCUCUCUGUCACCCAGGCUCAAUGGAGUGCAGUGGUGUGAUCAUGGCUCACUGCAGCCUUGAACUCCUAGGUACAAGUGAUCUUCUUGCCUCAGCCUCCUAAAGAGCUAGGACUAUAGGCACAUGCUUGUAUGCCUAUUUAAAAAAAUUUUUUUUGGCCAGACACAGUGGCUCAUGCCUGUAAUCCCAGCACUUUGGGAGGCCGAGGCGGGCAGAUCACGAGGUCAAGAGAUUGAGACUAUCCUGGCCAACAUGAUGAAACCCCGUCUCUACUAAAAAUACACACAAAAAUUAGCUGGGCGUGGUGGCAUGCGCCUGUAGUCCCAGCUAUUCGGGAGGCUGAGAUGGAAGAAUCGCUUGAACCUGGGAGGUGGAGGUUGCAGUGAGCCAAGAUCAUGCCACUGCACUCCAGCCCGGGUGACAGAGUGAGACACUGUCUCAAAAAAAAAAAAAAAAAAAAAAAAUUAGAAUAAUUA